GACGAACGCUGGCGGCGUGCUUAACACAUGCAAGUCGAACGGAAAGGCCCUGCUUUUGUGGGGUGCUAGCGUGGCGAACGGGUGAGUAACAUGUGAGUCACCUGCCCUUGACUUUGGGAUAUCUUCAGGCAACUGCGGCUACUACCGGCUAGGAGCUCCUGCUGCAUGGUGGGGUUCGGACCGCUCCGGCGGUUGGGGAUGGACUCGCGGGUUAUCAGCUUGUUGGUGGGGUAGUGGCUUACCCAGCCUUUGACGGGUAGCCGGCCUGGGAGGGUGACCAGCCACAUUGGGACUGAGAGACGGACCAGACUCCAACGGGAGGCAGAAGGGGGGAAUAUUGCACAAUGGGGGGAAGCCUGAUGCGGCGACGCCGCGAGCGGGAAGACGGCCAUCGGGGUGGAAACCGCUUUCGCCUGUGACGAAGCGGGAGUGACGUUAAUGGGUAAAGAAGCACCGGCUAACUACGUG
rnacentral:rRNA from 1 species